GGUGGUAUAGAGGUGAACAUGGCUGCCUUCCAAGCAGCGGACCUGGGUUCGAUUCCUAGCC
rnacentral:tRNA from 1 species